UCCGGUCGUAGAGAUCGAUCUCGUGUUCUUGGACUCUCGGAUCUCUUCCCACUCCAAGGGAGGCGACGGGAUAGCAUCAAGGCGAAACGUGAUCGGAGUCAAUGGGCAACUCGCCCGGCGAUUGGAGCAAAUCAAGAAAGGGGAAGUUGAUAUCGAAGUGAUUACCAGCAGGAUUCAGGAUGAGGAUGAGUUUGACAUUGGGUGGAGUCUGUUCGAGAUGGUGGAACGUCAAUGUUGGUAGAAAUUGACCAUGAAAACGGCGCAGUUGCAAAUGUUGGGAUGAGAGAUGAGGUCAAACACCUCAAGAAUUCCUCGACCAAAUCUAGGACUUUUCCAGUCAAAAGCAUGCGUGUGUCAUGCAUCUCCCUGUGACUUUAAAGAAUUCAAAAGCUGCCUGCUUGUUGAGGUGAUAAAAAGGAUUCCCACCAUCAAAAGACUUCAAGCUCAUCAGUCAACUCAGCCUGUUAAAUAUCACCAGAGAUCCUGCAAGAAAGUUCCUGAUGUUACUUUCAGCCACUGGAACUCCAUCGAUUCUUGCUGCUGCUGACACCGCACUAACUUAGCUGCUAAGGUUAUGACAGAGGCAUCUUUUGGCAAAUUUGGUUCUCAUUAUUAAUCCAACAUCUUUCACAGGUGCAGAAGUUGUAAGCAACUCAUUUGUGGAGAAGGGCAGCAUGGACCACUAGUCAUGCAUGCAUCUACAGAUUCUUAUAGAGAGGAAAUACAUGGGUCUCUUGGAGCCACCAUCUGUUUGAACCUUACCUCAUCAGGCUGCUGCAUAUGGAUCUCCAUCAUGGCUUGUGUUCCUUCUCCAGAUGUGCAGAGAUGAGGAAGAAGUACUACUGCAUCCUCUUUUUAAUGCAGUUGCCUGUGUGUGUGUGUGCGCGCGCCUGAGAUCACCCAUGUGUUGCUGACUCACAUAGAUUCCUUGUGGAGGCCCAGUGGAAGCAUUGAGUUCUUUGGUGUAUACACAUGAUUCCAAAAUCACAAAGCUACUUUUGUGACAGGGCUUAAAAGCAAGGGAGGCAACAUCCACCAUGGCUGGAGAGAAUGAGGUUGCUUGGGUCCCUCCAAAGGUUUUAAGAGCCUGACCAUGAAAUGCCAAUGGUAAAAGAGAAAGGUACAUUAGCUGUUCCUUCACCAGAAAGAGGAUUUAUUACAUCUGAUUCAAAAAGAUAUAUAGCAUUUUACAUUUCAAAGUUUGGAUAUAGCACAUUUGCCCCUCAAAACAUAGUGUCCCAUUUUUGUAUCCUUUUAACU